rnacentral:rRNA from 1 species
GACGAACGCUGGCGGCGUGCUUAACACAUGCAAGUCGAACGGAAAGGCCCUGCUUUUGUGGGGUGCUCGAGUGGCGAACGGGUGAGUAACACGUGAGUAACCUGCCUUUGACUUUGGGAUAACUUCAGGAAACUGGGGCUAAUACCGGAUAGGAGCUCCUGCUGCAUGGUGGGGGUUGGAAAGUUUCGGCGGUUGGGGAUGGACUCGCGGCUUAUCAGCUUGUUGGUGGGGUAGUGGCUUACCAAGGCUUUGACGGGUAGCCGGCCUGAGAGGGUGACCGGCCACAUUGGGAAUGAGAUACGGCCCAGACUCCUACGGGAGGCAGCAGUGGGGAAUAUUGCACAAUGGGCGGAAGCCUGAUGCAGCAACGCCGCGUGCGGGAUGACGGCCUUCGGGUUGUAAACCGCUUUCGCCUGUGACGAAGCGUGAGUGACGGUAAUGGGUAAAGAAGCACCGGCUAACUACGUG